rnacentral:rRNA from 1 species
GAUGAACGCUGGCGGCGUGCCUAAUACAUGCAAGUCGAGCGAACGGACGAGAAGCUUGCUUCUCUGAUGUUAGCGGCGGACGGGUGAGUAACACGUGGAUAACCUACCUAUAAGACUGGGAUAACUUCGGGAAACCGGAGCUAAUACCGGAUGAUAUUUUGAACCGCAUGGUUCGAAAGUGAAAGACGGUCUUGCUGUCACUUAUAGAUGGAUCCGCGCUGCAUUAGCUAGUUGGUAAGGUAACGGCUUACCAAGGCAACGAUGCAUAGCCGACCUGAGAGGGUGAUCGGCCACACUGGAACUGAGACACGGUCCAGACUCCUACGGGAGGCAGCAGUAGGGAAUCUUCCGCAAUGGGCGAAAGCCUGACGGAGCAACGCCGCGUGAGUGAUGAAGGUCUUCGGAUCGUAAAACUCUGUUAUUAGGGAAGAACAUAUGUGUAAGUAACUGUGCACAUCUUGACGGUACCUAAUCAGAAAGCCACGGCUAACUACGUG